CAGUCGCCGCGGUAAUACGAGGGGGGCAAGCGUAGUUCGGAUUUACCGGGCGUAAAGCGCACGUAGGCGGAUCGAUCAGUCAGGGGUGAAAUCCCAGAGCUCAACUCUGGAACUGCCUUUGAUACUGUCGAUCUGGAGUAUGGAAGAGGUGAGUGGAAUUCCGAGUGUAGAGGUGAAAUUCGUAGAUAUUCGGAGGAACACCAGUGGCGAAGGCGGCUCACUGGUCCAUUACUGACGCUGAGGUGCGAAAGCGUGGGGAGCAAACAGGAUUAGAUACCCCUGUAGUCCCUGUCUCUUAUAC
rnacentral:rRNA from 1 species